GCAUGGUAAUGGAUUUAUGGUGGGCCCUUCAUUGUGGGCCUCUCAUAGUGUACCCAUGCUAGAAUAAACUGCAGCCUUGAACCAUUGCCCAGCCUCCUCAGCUGUGGGCUGUGAGCACUGAAGGGGGUUGCACAUUG
rnacentral:snoRNA from 1 species